rnacentral:pre_miRNA from 1 species
AUAGUACUCCUUCCGUCCGGAAAUACUUGUCAUUGAAAUGGAUGUAUCUAGAUGUUUUUUAGUUCUAGAUACAUCCAUUUUUAUCCAUUUUGAUGACAAGUAAUUUCGGACGGAGGGACUAUAUG